rnacentral:rRNA from 1 species
CAGUAGCCGCGGUAAUACGGAGGGUGCAAGCGUUAUCCGGAUUUAUUGGGUUUAAAGGGUCCGUAGGCGGACUUAUAAGUCAGUGGUGAAAGCCUGUCGCUUAACGAUAGAACUGCCAUUGAUACUGUAAGUCUUGAGUAUAUUUGAGGUAGCUGGAAUAAGUAGUGUAGCGGUGAAAUGCAUAGAUAUUACUUAGAACACCAAUUGCGAAGGCAGGUUACCAAGAUAUAACUGACGCUGAGGGACGAAAGCAUGGGUAGCGAACAGGAUUAGAUACCCGGGUAGUCCCUGUCUUUAUACA